rnacentral:lncRNA from 1 species
UUGGUCCAUAUGAUUUGUUUUUAGUUGUAUAUAAUACUCCCACUAUGCUUAUAAAACGGUUUUUAAAGCAAGAGUAUAUGAUACUACUAACAUAACCUUUGCAUUCAUUUGAUGGACUAUAUAGUUGCAUUAGGGCCUUAGGAUGAUUAUGAACCUUUGUUUAGAUUCAACACGAGCCUUGUGUUGAAUCUCGGUCUAGGGAUGGUGAUUGAUUUUAGUUACGCGUUUAAUCACAUUAAGGCAUGUUGUCUUAGGGGCGUUGGACCCAACUACUUCAUUUUCAUGCAUAUCAAAUAAAGCAAGAAAGAAGUACUUCAAAGUCAAGGUGAGCUUAUGCUCAUUACAACAUUUGCAUUAAACAAAUUACUUUAAAGUAAAGAAGAGCUUAAGCCCUUUUACAACAUUUGAUCAAAUCAAAUUACAACCA